rnacentral:tRNA from 1 species
GGCUGGCGAGGCGGUCUCCAAAACCGCUUGGGUGGGUUCGAUUCCCAACCGUCCCUGCCA